rnacentral:rRNA from 1 species
UAGGGAAUCUUCGGCAAUGGGGGGAACCCUGACCGAGCAACGCCGCGUGAGUGAAGAAGGUUUUCGGAUCGUAAAGCUCUUUUGUUAAGGAAGAACGAGUGUGAGAAUGGAAAGUUCAUGCCGUCACUGUACUUAACCAGAAAGGGACGGCUAACUACGUGCCAGCAGCCGCGGUAAUACGUAGGUCCCGAGCGUUGUCCGGAUUUAUUGGGCGUAAAGCGAGCGCAGGCGGUUAGAUAAGUCUGAAGUUAAAGGAAGUGGCUCAACCAUUGUAGGCUUUGGAAACUGUUUGACAUUGAGGAAGAAGGGGAAGGUGGAAUUCCAUGUGUAGCGGUAAAAUGCGUCGAUAUGUGGAGGAACAACAGUGGCGAAAGCGGCUAACUGGUCUGUAACAGACGCUGAGGCUCGAAAGCGUGGGGAGCGAACAGG